UGUUGAUGAUGUGGACAAUCCUAAAGAAGAGCUUUGAACCUCUCCCAUGCAUGCUAUAAGUUGUCAUCUGGUUUUUGCUUAAAACACACAAUCUCACUGCACAAUCU
rfam:Capsicum annuum cultivar Zunla-1 chromosome 4, whole genome shotgun sequence